rnacentral:rRNA from 1 species
GAUGAACGCUAGCUACAGGCUUAACACAUGCAAGUCGAGGGGCAGCAUGAAGUUUGCUUGCAAACUUUGAUGGCGACCGGCGCACGGGUGAGUAACGCGUAUCCAACCUGCCCCGUACUCGGGUAUAGCCCAGCGAAAGCUGGAUUAAUCCCCGAUGUCACCUUUAUGGUGCAUGCCAUAUUGGUUAAAGUUAUUCGGUACGGGAUGGGGAUGCGUCUGAUUAGGUUGUAGGCGGGGUAACGGCCCACCUAGCCGACGAUCAGUAGGGGUUCUGAGAGGAAGGUCCCCCACACUGGUACUGAGACACGGACCAGACUCCUACGGGAGGCAGCAGUGAGGAAUAUUGGUCAAUGGUCGAAAGCCUGAACCAGCCAAGUCGCGUGAAGGAUGAAGGUUCUAUGGAUUGUAAACUUCUUUGUCUGAGGGUAAAAAAGCGGACGUGUCCGUUCUUGCAAGUAUCAGACGAAUAAGCAUCGGCUAACUCCGUGCCAGCAG